CCCAAGGAGCCACCAUCCAAACUAGAGGGCGGACUGGCGCGCGCGGGCUGGGCGGACUUGGCGCGCACUCGCCGGGUGGGAUGGCCGGAAUGCAUGUGUGUCCGGGUUGCAAAAGAUCCCCUCAAUGCGGAAUCUAAAGUGGCUGUCGCCCGGAAACUUAGCUUCGGUUUAUUAUUAGACGUCGGGUAAGAGGGACUCACAGCUGCCCUGACUCCAUACCGGGAGUCUUAUGUAAGAAGAGUAGCAGAACAUGCCGGAUGCACGUGGACACGCGGUGCUUCCUCCACGGCCCUGGUCGUGGUCAGUUUGCUGGGGAAUGGGAGCGCUGGGGCAUUUGGUUCCCUCCUGGCAGGGUCUUUACCGGACUUUCCUACUACUGCUGCCAGAAGGAGAUGAUCUGAAUCACAGCACUUAGGAUGCAGAAUCCAGAAUAUUCCAAGUUGAAGAUUCCUGGGAUUCUGUAAUAUGUUAAAUGGAGAAAUUCUAAGCCAAGGGUUAAUGAAGGAUUAAAGAUGGAUGUCCUGGCUGGGUCAAUUUGACACAAGCUAGAGUCAUCAGAGAAGAAGGAGCCUCAGUUGAGGAAAAGCCUCCAUGGGAUCCAGCUGUAAGACAUUUUCUCAAUUAGUGACUGAUGAGGGAGGGCCCAGCCAAUGGUGAGCAGUACCACCCUGGGGCAUGUGGCCCUGCAUUCUCUAAGAAAGCAGACUGAACAAGCCAUGUGGAGCAAGCAAGUAAGCAGCUCUCCUCCAUGGUCUCUGCAUCAGCUCCUGCCUCCAGGAUCCUGUCCUUUUUGAGUUCCUGUCCUGAUUUCCUUUGAUGAUGAACAGUGAAACUGUCAGCCAAAUGAAACCUUUCCUCCCAGAUUUGCUUUUUGAUCCUGGUGUUUUGUCGCAGUGAUGGAAACCCUAACGAACAAAGUAAGGGUGGUGGUCUGAAUAAGAAUGCCCCACUAGGCUCAUGUAUUUGAAUGCUCAGUCAUCAAGGACUGGGACUAUAUAAAAAAAUUAGAAGUGUGUCCUUGUUGG